UGAAUACGAGACGCUAAGGCGUCGAAGUAGUGUAUGUCAUACUUCCAAGAAAAGCUUGCACUGUCAUAGAUAAAAAACGCCUGUACCAUAACCGACACAGGUGGGUAGGUAGAGUAUACUAAGGGGCGCGAGAUAACUCUCUCUAAGGAACUCGGCAAAAUAACUCCGUAACUUCGGGAGAAGGAGUGCCUUAUUCGUAAGGUUGCAAUAACAAGAUCCAAGCAACUGUUUAUCAAAAACACAGGUCUCCGCUAAGUCGUAAGACGAUGUAUGGGGGCUGACGCCUGCCCAGUGCCAGAAGGUUAAAGAAGUUGGUUAGCAAUUGCGAAGCUGAUAACUGAAGCCCUGGUGAACGGCGGCCGUAACUAUAACGGUCCUAAGGUAGCGAAAUUCCUUGUCGGGUAAGUUCCGACCCGCACGAAAGGCGUAAUGAUUUGGAUACUGUCUCGGAGAGGGGCUCGGUGAAAUAGACUUGUCUGUGAAGAUGCGGACUACCUGCACCAGGACAGAAAGACCCUAUGAAGCUUUACUGUAACUUGAAAUUGAAAUUGGACUUUAUUCGCGCAGUAUAGGUGGGAGGCGUUGAUUAUAAUCUUGUGGGAUUAUUGGAGCCAUCAGUGAGAUACCACUCUUGUAAUGUUAGAUUUCUAACUUUGAAUCAUUAUCUGGUCAAAGAACAGUUUCAGGCGGGCAGUUUGACUGGGGCGGUCGCCUCCUAAACGGUAACGGAGGCGUACAAAGGUUUCCUCUGAACGGUUAGAAAUCGUAUCUAGAGUGUAAAGGCAUAAGGAAGCUUGACUGUGAGACCUACAAGUCGAGCAGGGACGAAAGUCGGUCUUAGUGAUCUGACGGUACUGAGUGGAAAGGCCGUCACUCAACGGAUAAAAGUUACUCUAAGGAUAACAGGCUGAUCUCCCCCAAGAGUUCACAUCGACGGGGAGGUUUGGCACCUCGAUGUCGGCUCAUCGCAUCCUGGGGCGGUAGUACGUCCCAAGGGUUGGGCUGUUCGCCCAUGAAAGCGGUACGCGAGCUGGGUUCAGAACGUCGUGAGACAGUUCGGUCCAUAUCCGGUGUAGGCGUUAGAAUAUUGAGAGGAGCCUUCUUUAGUACGAGAGGACCGAGAAGGACAUACCUCUGGUGUACCAGUUAUCGUGCCAACGGUAAACGCUGGGUAGCUAUGUAUGGAGUGGAUAACCGCUGAAAGCAUCUAAGUGGGAAGCCCACCUC
rnacentral:rRNA from 1 species